GACGAACGCUGGCGGCGUGCUUAACACAUGCAAGUCGAACGGAAAGGCCCUGCUUUUGUGGGGUGCUCGAGUGGCGAACGGGUGAGUAACACGUGAGUAACCUGCCCUUGACUUUGGGAUAACUUCAGGAAACUGGGGCUAAUACCGGAUAGGAGCUCCUGCUGCAUGGUGGGGGUUGGAAAGUUUCGGCGGUUGGGGAUGGACUCGCGGCUUAUCAGCUUGUUGGUGGGGUAGUGGCUUACCAAGGCUUUGACGGGUAGCCGGCCUGAGAGGGUGACCGGCCAAAAUGGGACUGGGAUACGGGCCAGACUCCUACGGGAGGCAGCAGUGGGGAAUAUUGCACAAUGGGCGGAAGCCUGAUGCAGCAACGCCGCGUGCGGGAUGACGGCCUUCGGGUUGUAAACCGCUUUCGCCUGUGACGAAGCGUGGGUGACGGUAAUGGGUAAAGAAGCACCGGCUAACUACGUG
rnacentral:rRNA from 1 species